CGUCUAAGGUUGUAUUCUGUGCCUAAAGUACAAUAGUAUCUAAGUAAGUAUAAAAUAUUUUCUUUAGUCUUAAUGCGUUCUGCUAUUCUCAUUUUCCAUCAUCAUGGACAGGUACAAGUCAGUCAUGAAGUCAUGCCAGUCAUGAAGUCGAUGAUGUGCAGGUAUAAGUCCUGUAUAUGUAUUUUGUGAAUUCAGUCUUAAAUAAAAUUAAUAUUUCCUCAAAAAUAAAUAAACUGAGACUAGUUUGAACCUGCUUGACUUUAGGCGUAGACAUGACACAACAUUGUGCCUUGUUUACGUCUUGUAUACACGUGUUUCAGACAUGUCCUGCAUUAAGCGGGUGCCGCGUCUUAUCGUGAUCCGUAAGCCAGUCUUAUACCAACCCGCGAUGGCAACGGACGCACGUAUAAUCGGUAGCUGCUGCGCCAUUAAUAUUUUGCUACAAGCCAUGGAAGAAUUAAAAAAUAUUACAAUAUGGAGGAUCAAUCAUUUCAAACAUUUUCAACAUUAACAAUAAGCUACGAGCGGAUAGUACCGUGAUUUGAUAAUAAAAAAGCACUCACGAAGAUCAAGAUACGUUCGCGAGAUGUACGCGCUUCGGACGUUGUUGUAGAAGCAGUGCAUUCGCCAACUAUGGACACAACGUAACAUGACGGGGAAAUUAAACCUACAACAGAAAAAGCGAAAAUACACUGAGGGCACUGGAUCAAUUAAAUUGCUACGAGCGGGUGGCACCAUGUUUGAUAUAAAAAAAGCAAGCAGGAAGAUCAAGAUACGUUCACGAGAAGUGCGCGCUUCGAACGGGAGCAGAGCAUUCGCCAAAUAUGGACGCAACAAGAUGCUGUGACUGUGACUCCUCUGGUGUUGCGUGUGUCCAUGAGCGGCGCUGAUCGCUUACCAUCAGCUGAGCAUGAAGUACAAUGUGAAACAAGUGACAUCGAUCUCAUCAUCAGCUUCCAACUAACUCACUGCGAAGAAAAGGCGUCUUCUACAUGAAGCAGUAAAGAACAUUAAUCACCAUGCUUGCUCAAGGGGCCAUGCCGAAGGGAGUGCUAUCUGAGGUCAUCAGCACUCUACUCCAAUCGCACUUGUGAUUCUGGACCACUGGACCAUUUAUAAAUAUAUUAUAUUUGAAGAGGACAUUACGUUUUUACAAACCAUAACUAAUUAAAUAUGUAAUUGUUUUAAUGUGAUUUUUCAUUUAUGUAUUGCGUUGAGUUAUUUCUGUGUCCAUGAAGGCAGAAGCCAGCGACAAUUUUAAAGGCAUAAAUACAUUACCGUGCAUUGCCACCAAUCGGGUGCGAGUGUUUGUUGAUCCACCCGACACUACGCGACAUGCAAGUGUGUGCCUUAGUAAUAACACCUAUACGCUUCCAGCGCGGCACACGCCACGCAAAAGUAAUGCAAUUCUACCUUUACCAUUCAAUUAUAUACAUAAAUUAAUUAAAAUAAAAUGGUUUAACCAGUAGGAUGCGCGACGUCGCCGCG